rnacentral:rRNA from 1 species
GACGGAGGGUGCAAGCGUUGUUCGGAUUGACUGGGCGUAAAGGGCGUGUAGGCGGUCGGCCAAGUCUGAUGUGAAAGCCCGAGGCUCAGCCUCGGAAGUGCGUCGGAAACUAGUCGGCUGGAGCGCGAUAGAGGAGGGUGGAAUUCCUGGUGUAGCGGUGAAAUGCGUAGAUAUCAGGAGGAACACCGGCGGCGAAGGCGGCCCUCUGGAUCGUUGCUGACGCUGAGACGCGAAAGCGUGGGGAGCAAACAGGAUUAGAUACCCUGGUAGUCCACGCUGUAAACGAUGGGUACUAGGUGUUCGGGGUAUUGACCCCCUGAGUGCCGCAGCUAACGCAUUAAGUACCCCGCCUGGGGACUACGGCCGCAAGGUUAAAACUCAAAG